AGGUCACACACCCUUUAUUUUGUUAUCAACACCAAUAUGUCAGUGCUAGGAGACACACAGGCACUAAAUGGCCUCUUUUAGAGGUUCUGAGGGCCUCAGGACCGAAAGAAAGUCUCCCUACACACACACACACACACACACACACACACACACACACACACACACCUGAUAGCAUUAUUGCAGGCUCUCAGCUGCUGGAUUCCCAGACUCCAGUCUUCCCAGACCCUUCUGGUUGUUUCUCUGGUCCUCUAACCCAACUCCUUGGUCCCAUGUCUAACUUUUAUGGCUUCUGGCCCCCAGAAUUGAGCCUGCAGAAGGAUGUCUUCCCUCUGUCUAGAUUCAAGAAAUGUUGGCUGUGAGAGAGCUUAGAAGCCAUGUACCCACAACUCCUCCAUUCUACUGAACAGAGAACUAGAUCCCUGGGAAGGAAAUGAAGGCUUCUAACGGGCAUCGUCAGGACCGGGGCCAUUGAAUCUACUGACUUCCCCUUGGCCAAGAGCAUAGGACAAACAUGAUCCAGGGACCCCUAUGGAAGGUUUACUCAGCUGGCCCCCACCAGUCAUCAGCCUCCUGGGGCCAGAGAGAUGGCUCAGAAGUCAAAAGCACUGGCUGUUCUUCUUGAAGAUGGUGUUUGAUCCCAAGCACCCAAGAUUUCGCAUUAAUCACGUGAAACUCCAGUUCCAGGGGAUCUGAUGCCCUCUCCUGGCCUUCUCCAGUACUACAAGUGGUGCAGAAAAAAACACCCACAUGCACAAAUGCUCUGUCGCCUGCAGACCAUGAGCAGUCAAAUUGCUUAACUUUUGA
rnacentral:lncRNA from 1 species